rnacentral:rRNA from 1 species
AUGACCAAGGCAGAAUCUGAUGCUUUCAAGGUUGCCUAUGUUGUAUGUGCAGUUACAUAUGUUCUCGCGCCACCGUUGAAGCACAACUACUUCCUGACAGAAUACUGGGGAGGUCUGCACACCCCUGAUCUCAUACACAUGUACAACUGGGGUAAGUAUGUCCGGGAGGAAGUGCUUCUAUCAGCUGGGAGGGUCAAGUCAGAGCUCCUUGGGGGCAAAGUUAAAUCAAACAUCUCUGGUUGCACUUUCUUCAUUCAGGUGUUCUAUCUGGACAAUCUUGAUCUUGAGGACGAGAACCUACCACACGACGUCUUCCCAAGAUUCAAGGUCUAUGAUCAGAAAAAGAUUAACAUGGUUAUUGAAAAGGACACAAGCGCAGGAAAGAACGCAGAUAUUGUUAUAUACGGACUACUUCUGCCGAGGCUGGCGCACACAGUGUGCUAUAGCAGGAACAGAGCUUCAAUGUCCUUCAUUGGCAAGAUUGCUGAUAUCGGAGACGGGUCAAGCAGAUAUCAAAGAGCACCGAUGAUCGAGGAGAUUGUUACUAUACUUGUGGAAAAAGUGGGCCAAUAUUCAUCUAGAUGCCGAGCAGCGUUGCAAGCGGCGUCUAAGAAAGGGGCCAAGAUAAACAAAAAGCACGCGGAUGGGUGGGAUGGUGUUGUGAGGGAGACUGACAUUUUCAUUGAAGAAGAGACCUCUAAGAUGCUCGCAGAUAUUGAUGAAAUAUCAGAAACUGUAAGGCAGAACAACAAAAGGCCAAGGGAACAAGACUACCAAGGUGAUGAUGUCUCACCUGAAGAGUCCGGAGAAGAGUCGCCAUUUUCACCACGUUCGGCCAUUUGUCCUGUGAAUACAGAUAAACGGAAUGUAGAUGAUGGUAAUCCUAUCCAUAGGUCAAAUGACAGUCAACGGGGUGGUUCCCCGAAAAGAGCAAGGGUCGAAGAGACAGAGGAGGAUCCUGACCCGGCGAUUAAGAAUCUGGAAGGACUGGUCGCGGCAGCAGACCAAGACAAUGAAGUAACAAAUGACACUGUGGUGCAUGAACAAAUGCCAAUCCAGGCCAAAGCAGCAGAUGGUAGGCAAUGGGUAUAUGGCCCUAAUGCAGCGCUUAACACAGAGGUUCCCUCAUAUGACCUCGGAAUAGACAAUGCUGGGCCAGUCCUAUCACCGGGAAGGGAAUUGUCAGUUGUGGCUAAAACUCAACAACCGUUCCACAUUCAGCAUCACACUGCCCAGGCCGGUCCAAGCAGAUUCAAAAUAGAUUUCACAGGUUUUAGGAGCAAAGACCUGAUGGAUGAUUUCAGUAGAGCGGUGACACCAGAAGUUGCAGGUACGAGCUCCGUGCCAUCAGCUAACACAACACCUGUAUCAACAUAUGGGAAAAAUGAACUCCAAGGCUCAGGGCUUGACAUAAUAUGCACUCCUAUGCACAGGGCGAUAGAGCCGAAUAAGGCGGCGAGAACAACACUUGUUAGCCUGAACAGGGAGAUCGCGGCACAAGAGUUGGACGUACGUGAGGAGAUGGAGGAGGCAGCAAUCAACCUGAACGUUCCACAGACACAAGAUGGCCUCAGUACACAGCCACAACGAAAAAGAACAGUUAAGCCAGGCAAGGCUGCACGGUCCCCUUUUGUUCUGGGGUACGAUCCUCCCCUAAGAGCACCAGCUAAUGUUGAAAAGGUCUUCAAGAUGUUUAUGAAGGAGCCCGCAUCUGCAAGGAAAGACAAUUGGGUUAUAAGCACUCAGCCAAAAUACAUCGAGCUCUCUGCCGAGCGAAUCAGGACGAACCUUUCGGAAGGGGGUGUGAUAGAUAAUGAUUUGAUGACAAUAGCAGUUAGAAGAUAUCAGCAGAUUGACUACACUUUUGCAUUGGAUAAAGAUGAAGGGUGCUGGCGACAUUGGCUCGAGCCAGACUUUGUGAACCAUGUGAGCAGAGGAGACGUGAUUGUGAGGUAUGUGCAGGACAUGUUUAUUGGGGAACAUAUCAAGUAUGACGUGCACAGAUGCACUGAGUUCUUACUCAACGUCAAGUUCAACUUCACAUGGUCGACCUACAUUUGGGAUUUUGUAAAGAGGAGGAUAAUCGUUCUUGACCCAACAAUUAACAACGGAGACGAGUCUGACAAAGUCAUCCAGAGUAGGCACAGAAAGGUUGCAGACAAUCUUCAUGAAGCAUUGCAAAGGUGCAUUCAAGCAUUUUUUCAAGGUUGGGCUCCUGACAUGACGAGAUGGAAUACAGUGUUCCCGAAAGGGAUAAACGUUGGUCUAUGCAGCGGGCCAGACAGCGGGGUAUAUGCACGGCACUAUGGACGGAAUUGGAUGGGAAGCAAAUUCAAGAGGGACCUGAACCCGCAACACGACGGGGUGCUCCAUUCCAGGAUGAACAUACUGGUAGAUGUGCUUGGACUGGAGGGGAACAUUGGACACUUGCCUGAGAGAUACAAGAAGUGCCUUGUUAGGAACAAGGAGGAUGCGUGA